CUUUAUCAAUCGAGCACCUAACCAUGGGCAAACACUGCAUAUGCCUUAAAGAGAAGAGAGACUGGGAAGUAAAAUAAGAGCAAGCACACCUCAGUUUAGGACAAAAGGUCCACUAGCAUGGAAUUACGUUAAUCUUUGUUUUUACCAUAUACGCUUCAUCGUAUGCCUUGUUAUACAUUAGACAGUUUUAUAAGUAACCCGCACUCUUGACUUUUUUUUAAAUUGUGC